rnacentral:rRNA from 1 species
UUCGCCCUUAGAGUUUGAUCCUGGCUCAGGACGAACGCUGGCGGCGUGCCUAACACAUGCAAGUCGAGCGAGGUACCCAUUUGAUUUCCUUCGGGGAUGAAGAUGGACUACCUAGCGGCGGAUGGGUGAGUAACACGUGAGCAACCUGCCCUGGAGUGGGGGAUACCAUCUGGAAACGGAUGUUAAUUCCGCAUAAAGUGUAGAGAGGACCUCCUUUUUACACCAAAGAUUUAUCGCUCUGGGAUGGGCUCGCGCCUGAUUAGCUAGUUGGUGAGAUAACGGCUCACCAAGGCAACGAUCAGUAGCUGGACUGAGAGGUCGAUCGGCCACAUUGGGACUGAGACACGGCCCAGACUCCUACGGGAGGCAGCAGUGGGGGAUAUUGCACAAUGGAGGAAACUCUGAUGCAGCGACGUCGCGUGAACGAAGAAGGCCUUCGGGUUGUAAAGUUCUGUCAGUGGGGAUGAUAAUGACAGUACCCACAGAGGAAGCCACGGCUAACUACGUGCCAGCAGCCGCGGUAAUACGUAGGUGGCGAGCGUUGUCCGGAAUUACUGGGUGUAAAGGGAGCGUAGGCGGGGAAUUAAGUUGGAUGUGUAAUACCGUGGCUUAACUGCGGGGCUGCAUCCGAAACUGGUUCUCUUGAGUGAGGUAGAGGUAAGCGGAAUUCCUAGUGGAGCGGUGAAAUGCGUAGAUAUUAGGAGGAACACCAGUGGCGAAGGCGGCUUACUGGGCCUUAACUGACGCUGAUGCUCGAAAGCGUGGGGAGCAAACAGGAUUAGAUACCCUGGUAGUCCACGCUGUAAACGAUGAUUACUAGGUGUGGGGGGUCUGACCCCUUCCGUGCCGGAGCUAACGCAAUAAGUAAUCCACCUGGGGAGUACGGCCGCAAGGCUGAAACUCAAAGGAAUUGACGGGGGCCCGCACAAGCAGUGGAUUAUGUGGUUUAAUUCGACGCAACGCGAAGAACCUUACCAGGUCUUGACAUCCCGUGCAUAGCUUAGAGAUAAGUGAAGUCCUUCGGGACACGGUGACAGGUGGUGCAUGGUUGUCGUCAGCUCGUGUCGUGAGAUGUUCGGUUAAGUCCGGCAACGAGCGCAACCCUUACGGUCAGUUGCUACGCAAGAGCACUCUGGCAGGACUGCCGUUGACAAAACGGAGGAAGGUGGGGAUGACGUCAAAUCAUCAUGCCCCUUAUGACCUGGGCUACACACGUAAUACAAUGGCACUUAACAACGGGAAGCGAAGCCGCGAGGUGGAGCGAAACCUACAAAAAGUGUCUCAGUUCGGAUCGCAGUCUGCAACUCGACUGCGUGAAGUCGGAAUUGCUAGUAAUCGCGGAUCAGCAUGCCGCGGUGAAUACGUUCCCGGGCCUUGUACUCACCGCCCGUCA